rnacentral:rRNA from 1 species
UGGUUCGAUCAUGGCUCAGAGUGAACGCUGGCGGCGUGCCUAAUACAUGCAUGUCGAACGAUGAAGCUCUAGCUUGCUAGAGUGGAUUAGUGGCGCACGGGUGAGUAAUGCAUAGAUAACAUGCCCUUUAGUCUAGGAUAGCCAUUGGAAACGAUGAUUAAUACUGGAUACUCCUUACGAGGGAAAGUUUUUCGCUAAAGGAUUGGUCUAUGUCCUAUCAGCUUGUUGGUGAGGUAAUGGCUCACCAAGGCUAUGACGGGUAUCCGGCCUGAGAGGGUGAACGGACACACUGGAACUGAGACACGGUCCAGACUCCUACGGGAGGCAGCAGUAGGGAAUAUUGCUCAAUGGGGGAAACCCUGAAGCAGCAACGCCGCGUGGAGGAUGAAGGUUUUCGGAUUGUAAACUCCUUUUGUUAGAGAAGAUAAUGACGGUAUCUAACGAAUAAGCACCGGCUAACUCCGUGCCAGCAGCCGCGGUAAUACGGAGGGUGCAAGCGUUACUCGGAAUCACUGGGCGUAAAGAGCGCGUAGGCGGGAUAGCAAGUCAGAUGUGAAAUCCUAUGGCUUAACCAUAGAACUGCAUUUGAAACUGUUAUUCUAGAGUAUGGGAGAGGUAGGUGGAAUUCUUGGUGUAGGGGUAAAAUCCGUAGAGAUCAAGAGGAAUACUCAUUGCGAAGGCGACCUGCUAGAACAUAACUGACGCUGAUGCGCGAAAGCGUGGGGAGCAAACAGGAUUAGAUACCCUGGUAGUCCACGCCCUAAACGAUGAAUGCUAGUUGUUGUGGAGCUUGUCUCUGCAGUAAUGCAGCUAACGCAUUAAGCAUUCCGCCUGGGGAGUACGGUCGCAAGAUUAAAACUCAAAGGAAUAGACGGGGACCCGCACAAGCGGUGGAGCAUGUGGUUUAAUUCGAAGAUACACGAAGAACCUUACCUAGGCUUGACAUUGAUAGAAUCCGCUAGAGAUAGUGGAGUGCUAGCUUGCUAGAACUUGAAAACAGGUGCUGCACGGCUGUCGUCAGCUCGUGUCGUGAGAUGUUGGGUUAAGUCCCGCAACGAGCGCAACCCUCGUCCUUAGUUGCUAACUAUUCGGUAGAGCACUCUAAGGAGACUGCCUUCGCAAGGAGGAGGAAGGUGAGGAUGACGUCAAGUCAUCAUGGCCCUUACGCCUAGGGCUUCACACGUGCUACAAUGGGAAGCACAAAGAGAUGCAAUAUUGUGAAAUGGAGCAAAUCUAUAAAACUUCUCUCAGUUCGGAUUGUAGUCUGCAACUCGACUACAUGAAGCUGGAAUCGCUAGUAAUCGUAAAUCAGCUAUGUUACGGUGAAUACGUUCCCGGGUCUUGUACUCACCGCCCGUCACACCAUGGGAGUUGUAUUCGCCUUAAGUCGGAAUGCCAAACUGGCUACCGCCCACGGCGGAUGCAGCGACUGGGGUGAAGUCGUAACAAGGUACCC